UUGCGACCACAUCACUUUGAAACACAGGUUCCAGUACGAUCACUAAAGUUAAGCAAGGACGAGCCUGAUCAGUGCCUAGAUGGGUGACCGCUGGAGAAUACCAGGUGCUGUAAG
rnacentral:rRNA from 1 species